rnacentral:rRNA from 1 species
UACGUAGGGGGCGAGCGUUGCCCGGAUUCAUUGGGCGUAAAGAGCUCGUAGGCGGCUUGGCAAGUCGGGUGUGAAAACUUCAGGCUCAACCUGGAGAUGCCACUCGAUACUGCUAUGGCUAGAGUCCGGUAGGGGACCACGGAAUUCCUGGUGUAGCGGUGAAAUGCGCAGAUAUCAGGAGGAACACCGGUGGCGAAGGCGGUGGUCUGGGCCGGCACUGACGCUGAGGAGCGAAAGCGUGGGUAGCAAACAGG